UUUGUGUGUCCCUGCAGGGGCCAGGCUUGUGAAUAAAAAUAUACUCUUCCAACUACUCAAUCUCAGCCAUCGGCUUUUACUCUUCAAUGUCGAUUAAGGGUAUUCAAGGCCAGCUUCUUGAGCUCACUGUUGUCGGGUGCAGCAACUUGAAGGACACCGAGUUGUUUUCACGGCAGGCCCCGCACGUGUUGCUCGAAUAUGGUAGCACCAAGUUCCGCACCAGGACUUGCACUGAUGAUGAUAAGAAUCCGAUAUUCCAGGAGAAGUUUGUGUUUACGUUAAUAGAAGGUCUUCGGGAGAUAAAUGUCUCCGUUUGGAACACCAAUAGCCUUUCAUCCGACAUCUUCAUCGGCAGUGCAAAGGUUCAAUUGCAUAAGGUUCUUUCUCAGGGUCACGAUGACACUACUUGGCCUCUUCAGACUAAAGGUGGCAGAAAUGCAGGAGAAGUGCGAUCAAAAUUACAUUAUUCUAAUGCCCUAAAACCUGCAACAAGCUCUGCUUCAUCGGCGCCGCAUACGCCCCCUCCCUACGCACCUUGUGCCUCAACUCCAUCUCCCUACUCUCCAUACUCAGCUGCCUAUCCUCCUCCACCGCGGGCACCUGCAGCUCCGGUUUACCCACCUCAGUUUUCCUACUCACCUCAAUUUUCCUACACUUGGUACGCACCAAAUUCAACAGGGUAUCCACCAUCUCCAUAUUCAACUUCACCUCCAGCUGACUGUCCUCCCCCACCUUACCCACCAACAUCAACUUACCCAACCCCGGCACCUGCAACUCCUUACGCGCCUCCGGCCUAUCCAGAUCCAUCUCCCUACUGCUCCUACGACCCAGCUAAUUCAACAGGGUAUCCAUCAUUUCCAGCUGCCUAUCCUCCCCCACCUUACCCAUAAACAUCAGCUUAUACACAAACAGAUGAUGAUUUCACUGAUUAUGAUGAUUUCACUGAUAAUUGGUAACGGAUUUUGAUGGCUUUUUUCCUGUUAAUUACCAAACCUUUGUGUAAUGUUUAAUUUGGACGCCACUUUGUAAUUCCUAGGUAAAUUUCUUUGUGGAUGGCGUACGUAUGUACUUUACAAAGCGUAACCUCAAUGUCGAGUGAUCGGACGGUGGUGGUAAGCACCACGUACGUACAGUCCAAGAUCGAUUAUUACUCUGAGGCAAUUGAGGAUAUGGAGUGUAGGUGAAGGCAGAUUUCAAGACAGUCAUAUUGGACCUGCUGGAAAAGUAUACGUUGAAUGAAUGCUCCCAAGGUAAGUAUACAAACGCCCAACGAUGUCGUUUGUAUAACUU